rnacentral:rRNA from 1 species
UAGACAUGGGGGCACCCUGACCGCAAUGCCGCGUGAGUGAAGAAGGCCUUCGGGUUGUAAAGCUCUUUUGUCAGGGAAGAAACACCGGCUCUAACACAGUCCGGGAAUGACGGUACCUGAAGAAUAAGCACCGGCUAACUACGUGCCAGCAGCCGCGGUAAUACGUAGGGUGCAAGCGUUAAUCGGAAUUACUGGGCGUAAAGCGUGCGCAGGCGGUUAUACAAGACAGGCGUGAAAUCCCCGGGCUUAACCUGGGAAUGGCGCCUGUGACUGUAUAGCUAGAGUGUGUCAGAGGGGGGUAGAAUUCCACGUGUAGCAGUGAAAUGCGUAGAUAUGUGGAGGAAUACCAAUGGCGAAGGCAGCCCCCUGGGAUAACACUGACGCUCAUGUACGAAA